AGCGAACGUUUGCGGCGGGCUUAACACAUGCAAGUCGAACGAGAAUCCCUUCGGGGAGGAAAGUGGCGCACGGGUGCGUAACACGUGGAUGACCUACCCCUUGGUUCGGGACAACAGCGGGAAACUGCUGCUAAUACCGGAUGUGUCGUAGCAAUACGAGAAAGGCCCGCAAGGGUCGCCAGAGGACGGGUCCGCGUCCCAUCAGCUAGUUGGUGAGGUAAUGGCUCACCAAGGCGAAGACGGGUAGCUGGUCUGAGAGGAUGAUCAGCCACACUGGAACUGAGACACGGUCCAGACUCCUACGGGAGGCAGCAGUGGGGAAUAUUGCGCAAUGGGCGAAAGCCUGACGCAGCCACGCCGCGUGAGCGAUGAAGGUCUUCGGAUCGUAAAGCUCUGUGGGGGGAGAAGAAGAAAGUCGGUGAAGAGCCGGCCCUGACGGUAUCCCCUUAGCAAGCACCGGCUAACUCCGUGCCAGCAGCCGCGGUAAUG
rnacentral:rRNA from 1 species